CUAGCUGGAGCAGAUGGGAAACGGGGAGAGACGGAGGCCACAGCAAACAGCAGAAGGAAGAAAAUUUUGCAAGCAGACACAAGGAAGUGAGCUACUCAGGCCUCCAGAGGCAGGAAAGAAGUGAGGGUGGACACAGAGAGAUGCUUAACUGGUAUGGAAGACCCAACCUGAAUGUGGGCUGCACCAUCCCAAGAGCGAGAGUCCUGGACCAAAAGAAGAAAGCUAGUGAACCGGCAGCUUCCAUCUCUCUGGGCCUGCCUGAAGGUGCAGGACCACAGCAACCUCCCACUCACGCCAGUGCAGGUGAGGGAUCUCAGGCCCCCACACUGCCCAUGGCGGACUGUACUGUUAAACUGUGAGCCAAAUGAACACUUCCUUCCUUACCUUGCCUUCUUCCAGUCUUUUGUCACAGUACAAAAAGUAGCUAGUACACACAGAAAGUCCUUUUUUUUAACCUCUACAAAGAAAACUCAUGAUCUUCUUAACAGUUUUAUAAUUCUUGCAUGAGCUUCCUCAGACAGGGAGGG